GACGAACGCUGGCGGCGUGCUUAACACAUGCAAGUCGAACGGAAAGGCCCUGCUUUUGUGGGGUGCUCGAGUGGCGAACGGGUGAGUAACACGUGAGUAACCUGCCCUUGACUUUGGGAUAACUUCAGGAAACUGGGGCUAAUACCGGAUAGGAGCUCCUGCUGCAUGGUGGGGGUUGGAAAGUUUCGGCGGUUGGGGAUGGACUCGCGGCUUAUCAGCUUGUUGGUGGGGUAGUGGCUUACCAAGGCUUUGACGGGUAGCCGGCCUGAGAGGGUGACCGGCCACAUUGGGACUGAGAUACGGCUCAGACUCCUACGGGAGGCAGCAGUGGGGAAUAUUGCACAAUGGGCGGAAGCCUGAUGCAGCAACGCCGCGUGCGGGAUGACGGCCUUCGGGUUGUAAACCGCUUUCGCCUGUGACGAAGCGUGAGUGACGGUAAUGGGUAAAGAAGCACCGGCUAACUACGUGCCAGCAGCCGCGGUGAUACGUAGGGUGCGAGCGUUGUCCGGAUUUAUUGGGCGUAAAGGGCUCGUAGGUGGUUGAUCGCGUCGGAAGUGUAAUCUUGGGGCUUAACCCUGAGCGUGCUUUCGAUACGGGUUGACUUGAGGAAGGUAGGGGAGACUGGAAUUCCUGGUGGAGCGGUGGAAUGCGCAGAUAUCAGGAGGAACACCAGUGGCGAAGGCGGUUCUCUGGGCCUUUCCUGACGCUGAGGAGCGAAAGCGUGGGGAGCGAACAGGCUUAGAUACCCUGGUAGUCCACGCUGUAAACGGUGGGUACUAGGUGUGGGGUCCAUUCCACGGGUUCCGUGCCGUAGCUAACGCUUUAAGUACCCCGCCUGGGGAGUACGGCCGCAAGGCUAAAACUCAAAGGAAUUGACGGGGCCCCGCACAAGCGGCGGAGCAUGCGGAUUAAUUCGAUGCAACGCGUAGAACCUUACCUGGGUUUGACAUGGAUCGGGAGUGCUCAGAGAUGGGUGUGCCUCUUUUGGGGUCGGUUCACAGGUGGUGCAUGGCUGUCGUCAGCUCGUGUCGUGAGAUGUUGGGUUAAGUCCCGCAACGAGCGCAACCCUUGUUCACUGUUGCCAGCACGUUAUGGUGGGGACUCAGUGGAGACCGCCGGGGUCAACUCGGAGGAAGGUGGGGAUGACGUCAAGUCAUCAUGCCCCUUAUGUCCAGGGCUUCACGCAUGCUACAAUGGCUGGUACAGAGAGUGGCGAGCCUGUGAGGGUGAGCGAAUCUCGGAAAGCCGGUCUCAGUUCGGAUUGGGGUCUGCAACUCGACCUCAUGAAGUCGGAGUCGCUAGUAAUCGCAGAUCAGCAACGCUGCGGUGAAUACGUUCCCGGG
rnacentral:rRNA from 1 species